rnacentral:ncRNA from 1 species
GCAAGCAGUAACAACGAACCUUGAGAAGUCAGCAGACGCCAUAGUAGCCGAUACGGGUAAAAAAAAUCGACAAUCGGUGAAGGGC